AAGAGUAUAAUUUAAUGGCAAAAUACCAAGCUUCAAACUUGGUCUUUUCAGUUCAAGUCUGAAUGCUCUUA
rnacentral:tRNA from 1 species